GGGUGUUUAGCUCAGUGGUAGAGCGCCUAGCUUUUAACUAGGUGGUCGACAGUUCGAACCUGUCAAUACCCG
rnacentral:tRNA from 2 species